UAUAGUUUAAUUUUGUUAUAGGUUGAUUAUUAUUUUUAUAUUUAUAUUAAAAGGUUUAUAUGUGAUAGUAAUUGGUAUGGAAAUUAUUAGUCUUUGGAGUACUGAGAGGGAAAGUUAUAAAUUUGUUUAGAGUAAAAAUUAAAAUUUGUACCUUUUGCAUAAUGGUUUAAUAAUAUUUAUUGGUUUAUAUCUUGUUCUCGAAAUAUAAAGAUUUAUUUGUCUUAAUAUAUAUAUAUAUAUAUAUAUAUAUAUAUAUAAUAGUUAACGUAGUAUAGUUAUUAUUUUAAGGUUAAAUGGUAAUGAAAUGUUAUUCGAUUUAUAUGGUAGCUAGUUUAUUUAUUAUAUACAUUUUAGUGUUGUUUAAGGUUAAUUAUAGUUAGUAGUUAAUUUUAAUUUAAUUAUUAGGGGAUAAGCUUUAAUUUGUUUGUUGUGAGAAUAAUUUAUAAUUUUAUAAAUAGUUGAGGUUGGAUUAAUAUUCUUUCUUUAUAUUAUUAUAUUAAUAUUUGUAUUUGUUUUAAUUCUUUAUAUUGUAUUAAAUAAAUUUUUUAUUAUUAAUUUAAAAUUAAAUAUAAUGUUAUAAUGAGUAUUAUAUAUAGUUUAAAUAUAUAUUUUUAAAUUUUGUAAAGUUUAGAUUUUUAGUUUAUGUAUUUAUAUAUUAUUUAAGUGAGUUAAAGGAAUUCGGCAAAUAUUAAUUUCGCCUGUUUAUCAAAAACAUGUCUCUUUGAUAGUUUUUAAUAGAGAGUUGGGCCUGCUCGGUGAUUAAUAUUUAACAGCUGCGGUAUUAUAACUGUACUAAGGUAGCAUAAUAAUUUGCCUUAUAAAUUGAGGCUAGAAUGAAUGGUUUGACGAAAAUUAUACUGUCUCUUACUUAUUUAUUAGAAAUUAAUUUUUAUAGUGAAAAAGCUUGAAUAAUUUAAAGGGACGAAAAGACCCUAUUGAGCUUUAUAUUAUUAUUUAAAUUUAUUAUAUUGUUUUUAUUUUAAAUAAUUUUGGUUGGGGUGAUCAAGGAAUAAAAUAUUAAAUUUAUUAACUUCCUUAUUAUAUUUAAAUAUAUAUAUUAAUAAACCAAAUUUUUUGCUUAAAAGAUAAGUUACCAUAGGGAUAACAGCGUAAUUUUUUUUGAGAGUUCAUAUUGAGAAAAGAGAUUGCGACCUCGAUGUUGGAUUAAAAUAACCUUAGGGUGUAGAGGCUUUAAUUGGUUAAUCUGUUCGAUUUUUAAAAUUUUACAUGAUCUGAGUUCAAACCGGUGAAAACCAGGUUGGUUUUUAUCUUUUAAAUUUUUUUAAAUUUAAUUUAGUACGAAAGGAUUUAUUGAAAUUAAUUUUUAUUAAUUUUAUAAAGGUUUU
rnacentral:rRNA from 1 species